GCCAUUACUGACGCUCAUGGACGAAAGCCAGGGGAGCGAAAGGGAUUAGAUACCCCUGUAGUCCUGGCCGUAAACGAUGAACACUAGGUGUCGGGGGAAUCGACCCCUUCGGUGUCGUAGCUAACGCGUUAAGUGUUCCGCCUGGGGAGUACGCACGCAAGUGUGAAACUCAAAGGAAUUGACGGGGGCCCGCACAAGCGGUGGAGUAUGUGGUUUAAUUCGAUGCAACGCGAAGAACCUUACCAGGGUUUGACAUCCUGCGAACCUCUUAGAAAUUUGAGGGUGCCUUCGGGAAUGCAGUGACAGGUGGUGCAUGGCUGUCGUCAGCUCGUGUCGUGAGAUGUUGGGUUAAGUCCGGCAACGAGCGCAACCCACGUCCCCAGUUGCCAGCAUUUAGUUGGGCACUCUGUGGAAACUGCCGGUGAUAAGUCGGAGGAAGGUGUGGAUGACGUCAAGUCCUCAUGGCCCUUACGGGUUGGGCUACACACGUGCUACAAUGGGAAGUACAGAGGGAUGCGAAAGCGCGAGCUGGAGCCAAACCCUUAAAACUUUUCUUAGUCCGGAUUGGAGUCUGCAACUCGACUCCAUGAAGUCGGAAUCACUAGUAAUCGCGAAUCAGAAUGUCGCGGUGAAUACGUUCUCGGGCCUU
rnacentral:rRNA from 1 species